GGCGUUAAGUUGCAGGGUAUAGACCCGAAACCCGGUGAUCUAGCCAUGGGCAGGUUGAAGGUUGGGUAACACUAACUGGAGGACCGAACCGACUAAUGUUGAAAAAUUAGCGGAUGACUUGUGGCUGGGGGUGAAAGGCCAAUCAAACCGGGAGAUAGCUGGUUCUCCCCGAAAGCUAUUUAGGUAGCGCCUCGUGAAUUCAUCUCCGGGGGUAGAGCACUGUUUCGGCAAGGGGGUCAUCCCGACUUACCAACCCGAUGCAAACUGCGAAUACCGGAGAAUGUUAUCACGGGAGACACACGGCGGGUGCUAACGUCCGUCGUGAAGAGGGAAACAACCCAGACCGCCAGCUAAGGUCCCAAAGUCAUGGUUAAGUGGGAAACGAUGUGGGAAGGCCCAGACAGCCAGGAUGUUGGCUUAGAAGCAGCCAUCAUUUAAAGAAAGCGUAAUAGCUCACUGGUCGAGUCGGCCUGCGCGGAAGAUGUAACGGGGCUAAACCAUGCACCGAAGCUGCGGCAGCGACGCUUAUGCGUUGUUGGGUA
rnacentral:rRNA from 1 species